AGGCAGCAGUAGGGAAUCUUCCACAAUGGGCGCAAGCCUGAUGGAGCAACACCGCGUGAGUGAAGAAGGGUUUCGGCUCGUAAAGCUCUGUUGUUAAAGAAGAACACGUAUGAGAGUAACUGUUCAUACGUUGACGGUAUUUAACCAGAAAGUCACGGCUAACUACGUGCCAGCAGCCGCGGUAAUACGUAGGUGGCAAGCGUUAUCCGGAUUUAUUGGGCGUAAAGAGAGUGCAGGCGGUUUUCUAAGUCUGAUGUGAAAGCCUUCGGCUUAACCGGAGAAGUGCAUCGGAAACUGGAUAACUUGAGUGCAGAAGAGGGUAGUGGAACUCCAUGUGUAGCGGUGGAAUGCGUAGAUAUAUGGAAGAACACCAGUGGCGAAGGCGGCUACCUGGUCUGCAACUGACGCUGAGACUCGAAAGCAUGGGUAGCGAACAGGAUUAGAUACCCUGGUAG
rnacentral:rRNA from 1 species